rnacentral:siRNA from 1 species
UAGCGGCCACGCCUUGGGGAA